AAGAACCAACAGGGAUUGCCCCAGUAACGGCGAGUGAAGCGGCAACAGCUCAAAUUUGAAAUCUGGCCCUUUUGGGUCCGAGUUGUAAUUUGUAGAGGAUGCUUUUGGCAAGGUGCCGCCCGAGUUCCCUGGAACGGGACGCCACAGAGGGUGAGAGCCCCGUCUGGCUGGCCACCGAGCCUCUGUAAAGCUCCUUCGACGAGUCGAGUAGUUUGGGAAUGCUGCUCAAAAUGGGAGGUAUAUGUCUUCUAAAGCUAAAUAUUGGCCAGAGACCGAUAGCGCACAAGUAGAGUGAUCGAAAGAUGAAAAGCACCUUGAAAAGAGGGUUAAAUAGUACGUGAAAUUGUUGAAAGGGAAGCGCUUGUGACCAGACUUGGGCGCGGCGGAUCAUCCGGGGUUCUCCCCGGUGCACUUCGCCGUGUCCAGGCCAGCAUCAGUUCGUCGCGGGGGAAAAAGGCUUCGGGAACGUGGCUCCCCUGGGAGUGUUAUAGCCCGUUGCAUAAUACCCUGCGGUGGACUGAGGACCGCGCAUCUGCAAGGAUGCUGGCGUAAUGGUCACCAGCGACCCGUCUUGAAACACGGACCAAGGAGUCGUCUUCGUAUGCGAGUGUUCGGGUGUCAAACCCCUACGCGUAAUGAAAGUGAACGCAGGUGAGAGCUUCGGCGCAUCAUCGACCGAUCCUGAUGUUCUCGGAUGGAUUUGAGUAAGAGCAUACGGGGCCGGACCCGAAAGAAGGUGAACUAUGCCUGUAUAGGGUGAAGCCAGAGGAAACUCUGGUGGAGGCUCGCAGCGGUUCUGACGUGCAAAUCGAUCGUCAAAUAUGGGCAUGGGGGCGAAAGACUAAUCGAACCUUCUAGAAGCUGGGAUUCCGCCGAAAGUUC
rnacentral:rRNA from 1 species